rnacentral:lncRNA from 1 species
GCCCCGGCGGCGGACGACUGCGGGCUGCGCGCUGUGGGCAACCGGGGCUGCCGUCCCCGCGGUCCCUGCGGUCCCCGCGGUCCGCGCCGGGCUUCCGACUGCGCCCGUGCUCACUGCGCAGGCGCGCACCCGUGGGGCGGGGCCGGCCCGGGGAAGGGGCCGGACGGGGUGGGGCCUGCUGAGUGGGCGGGACCUAAGCGGGGCUGACCCGGGGAAGGGGCCGGAUGGGGGUGGGGGAGCCUGCGGGGUGGGCGGGUCCUUGGAAGGGGCCGGCCCUGGGAAGGGGCCGGUUGGGGUGGGGCCUGACGGGCGGGGGUGGGCCCUGUGGGUGGGCGGGGGGUAGGCGGGGCCGACCUGCGGAGCCGGGGAGCCGGUUCACGACCUGGGUCCGGCCGGCGGGUGGAUGGGUCGGGUGGUCCGACGAAGCAAGCACAAGACCUCCACACCACCGACGCAAGGUGUCUGCACCUGAGGGGCUCAGGCGCGUGCCUGUGCAGACGGACUCCUCCCACCGGCCCUGGGAUCUUGCCCGUUGUUCCGUGCGACCCGGCAAGCGUGCGGCACAGCCCCAAGGUCUUCGGAGACGCGGACGCCGGCCCCCGUCCUUAUCACCACAGGUCUCCCAGCCAGCGCUGGCCAGGGCCUUCAACCCAAGGGGACUCUGCUGCCCCGCCCGUUCGCGUGUUCUCCUUGCAGGAGGAGCACCCUCCUCAUCUUCCCCUUGCGGAGCCCAAGGGUUUUGCCUCCUUCCAUCCGGGCGACCCAACAGGUGACCCUACCCCAGGCCUCCUGGAGACCAGCCCCCCACCGCACUCCCAGUUAGGGCAGUGAAUCCCAGCCUCACCCUGCCCCCAGCGUUGUCUCUGGGAUGUGUCGGGGUGG